rnacentral:tRNA from 1 species
CUUACUAUAGUUUAGAUAAAACAUAGAGUUGCAAACUCUAAGAAAAUAUAAUUUUUUAGUAAGC